CUGGAUGAAAUAAUAAAAACUAAAAAACAUUUCUUCUUUUUUGUUUUUGUCAUACUUACUCCACCCUAAGGGGAACUUAUAAAAAAUGUAUCAUGGCUCAAUCAUUCUUUUUAUUAUAUAAUAUGAGGCCUUUUAUGCAUGGUUUUUACUGUUUUCCCUCUGUCCCUAAGCCAGACUUUGUAUCUUCAACCUCGCUUAAUUCUAAAUUAAAUAUUUAAAUAAUGUAGAUUUCAAGUACAAAUGAUAAAAUACCAUUUAUUUCAAUUCUACAUAUUAUAUAUUGUGAUACAUAUUCACAUUUUCCUAUAUUUUUCAUAAAUAGAACCCUUGUCCCUUGGGGUCACUGUCAUUUCCACCACACUGUACAAAAUAGAAUCCUGGGAUCAGUGUUUUAGGUUUGUAUAUUUAGUAACCAUAGCAACAGAAACUCCACAGUGGAACACAUGGCUGGAUGAAAUGGUGUCCUCUACAGGGGGUAAUGAAAAGAAGAAAAAUCAAGAUGGCAAGCAAUACCACAGCACAGAGGUCAAGAUCAUACAGAGAAAGAAUAAAAUCAGAUCCACUUAAAUAUGCAGAGUCCCUCAAGAAGGACAGAGAAAGAUACCUGAAGAAAAAGCAACAAGGUGUUGUUAAAUCUGUGACAGAAAUGCGAAAAGAGAACAACGAAAAAUGAGAAGACCGUGGCGAAUUUCUCAACGAAACAGACGUAGGAAAUGGAAAAUGGUCUCAGCAGUGAAUAGUUUCAUGGCACAUACAACACCACCACCAUCACCAGACAACAUGAGUGUUAAUGCAGAAGACAUCCCUGAAACACCUCAGCUGUGUGAGCCUACACCAGAGAGAACUCCACAGAGGAAAAGAGGGAGAAAAAAGGUUGCGAAGGCAAAAGCAAAGGUGUA